rnacentral:sRNA from 1 species
UAGCAUUUAGGAAGUGCUUAACUGGUUAAGAUCAAAAAAUCUGAAUUUAACUAGGUCGUCAUGAGUUUGCCAGUGGUAUAUACUUGCAAGCU